GUACAAAGGUAGCAUAAUAAAUUGUUUUUUAAUUAAAGACUGGAAUGAAGGAAUUGAUGAGAUUUAAACUUUCUAAAAUUUAAAAUUUAAAUUUUUUUAUUAAGUAAAAAGACUUAAAUUUAUUUAUGGGACGAGAAGACCCUAUAGAAUUUUAUAUAAUUUAAUUAAAAUUUUUGGUUAUAUUAUAUUUAGUUGGGAGGAUUGUUAAAUUUUUAACUUUAACAUAUUUUAUACUUUGAUAAAAGGAAAUUAAUAAAUUAAUAAUUAUUAAUUAAUGUAAAAUUAAUUACCUUAGGGAUAACAGCAUAAUAUUUUUUUUUAGAUCCUAUAUAAAAAAUUGUUUAUGACCUCGAUGUUGAAAUUAAGAUAAAAAUUUAAAAGUAGAUUUUUAAAUUUUUGGU
rnacentral:rRNA from 1 species